GACUUCUAUUUCUAGGGUUUUACUUGCACAUGCACAGACGUAAAAAUACAAAUAAUAUAGGUAAAAGACUGGAUAUUUGCCAGUUAAAAUCUCGGAAAAUACUGUACAUGUUAGUCUGAUACCUGACCAUUGAAUAAAGUUGAUAAAAUCGGAUUGUGAAAUCAUCAGAUAUAUUGGUGAUAUCCAUGUAUUGGAAAACGUCCUGUUAGUAAACGCACUGAAAAACUAUUUCUAAAAAAAAAAAAAGAGCACAAAAUUGCACACAAAAAAUAAAAGUCAGUGAUACUGUGAAAGGUGAACCACGAUAUAGCGAGUGACCACUGUGCACAAAAUCAGAACAUUUGUUGUUGUUUGGGUACAGUUUAGUUCUUUUAUCUUGAUUGACAUUAGUAUUUAUUUUGUUUUUCUUGACUUUAACUGGACAAUACAUCGUUACAGAUUGAUCCGUGUGAAGGAGACCUCUCUGACGAAAGAUUGUUAGAUCACACCUACUCGGGGACAGAGGAGGACACUUUUCAGGCGUCCAUGAUCGCUCUGCACGGGAGCGUCUGCAGCGCUGACCUGGAUUAUCUGCAAUCAUCCACACCCAAGCUGACGGCUCGCCUGAACGUGCUGAACGAACAUCCAGGCUUGACAGACGACACUCUAGUGUUUCCUCCAGACAAUCCAGACUCCUACAGUCCUGCCAGCUCGACCGCUCACAUCCCCCCCAUUAGUGCCAUCCUAAGUAGCUCUAAUCAAUAUUUGGCUCAAUCUCAGAGCAAAGAAGAACAACCAGAGCCUUCAAACCUAUACAGCACUUUAGCUGAAAUAGAGGGCAGAUCUAUAGACCAGGAAGCAUCUAUGGAUCCUCUUCAGUACCUCAAGGAGCCUACCAUCUCUAUUGGAGAUGGUGGAAAUGUGCUGAGAUUGAAGGUAAGAAAAAAAUGGAUCAUUUUGAUUAUUUAGUGUAACUAAGGGAUGAAAAGUCACUCACAUUCAACCUGCUGUUUUUGUAUCUGUAGAGACAAAACUGUUUAGAAACCCAUCUUGUUGUUUCAUUCACUGUCAUGGCUAAAUGUGUUGAAUUAUCCCCCCAAAGGACGACGAGGCCAGCGAGAAAGAACCUGCAGAACUCGGGUUGACCUCGGGGAGCAAUUUUGAAAGGACUAUCACAGUCGUCAAGGGCAACUCCAGCCUUGGUUUGUUCUUAUUUCUCAACAGAUUCUUGUUUAUUCUUUUUCAUUUUCUUUUGCCGAGGUGUUAAUGAGGCUUCCAGAUUGAAAGGCUCUGUUUUUGGCCUU
rnacentral:lncRNA from 1 species